rnacentral:rRNA from 1 species
UACGUAGGGUGCAAGCGUUUGUCCGGAAUUAUUGGGCGUAAAGAGCUCGUAGGCGGUUUGUCGCGUCUGCUGUGAAAUCCCGAGGCUCAACCUCGGGUCUGCAGUGGGUACGGGCAGACUGGAGUGCGGUAGGGGAGAAUGGAAUUCCUGGUGUAGCGGUGGAAUGCGCAGAUAUCAGGAGGAACACCGAUGGCGAAGGCAGUUCUCUGGGCCGUAACUGGCGCUGAGGCGCGAAAGCGUGGGUAGCAAACAGG